rnacentral:rRNA from 1 species
AACGAACGCUGGCGGCAGGCCUAACACAUGCAAGUCGAGCGAGGACUUCGGUCCUAGCGGCGGACGGGUGAGUAACGCGUGGGAACGUGCCCUUUGCUUCGGAAUAGCCCUGGGAAACUGGGAGUAAUACCGGAUGAGCCCUUUGGGGGAAAGAUUUAUCGGCGAAGGAUCGGCGCGCGUUGGAUUGGGUGGUUGGUGGGGUAAUGGCCUACCAAGGCGACGAUGCAGAGCUGGUUUGAGAGGAUGCUACGGCACACUGGGACUGCGACACGGCCUCCACCCCUAGGGGGCGGAGCGGAAGAGUGUCCAAUACAAUGAAGCAAACUGUAGCAUCGCCGCGCCGGGUAAGACAUGAUGGCCGUAGGGUUGCAAAGCUCUUUCUGAUGAGAAGAGAGUGACGGUAAUAGCAGAAGAAGCCCCGGCUAACUCCGUG